rfam:Thermoplasmatales archaeon SG8-52-3 WOR_8-12_1194, whole genome shotgun sequence.
GCUGAGGUAGCAAAGUCCGGCCUAACGCGCCGGCCUUGAGAGCCGGUUCUCCAUCUGGGGAGCGGGAGUUCGAAUCUCCCCCUCAGCG